AUUAUACCAGCCAUCUGUAGUGGUACCUGGGAAGGGCACACCAUAAAACUGCUGUAGGGAACCUUUUUCAGGACAAAGAUUGCAUCCCCCUUCAGGGAAGCCCCCAAGAGCCGCAUGACAGUGGUAGGUGUGGGGCAGAGGGAGAGGGGAAGGGAGGAAACAAUGUGACUUUGUACAGAGGGCACCAUUGCAGCUACACAAAAGCAAAUCGUUCUAUACCCCCUUUCCAUCUUCCAAUCCACUUAAACAAGAAGCAUUAUCAAAGUUCAAGGAAACUUUCCAACUAGGCAAAAGCACUUGAGGGUGUUUUUUUUACAGCCGGUGAAGGGGAUGAUAAGGACAGCAUCUGUUGGAUCUCAAUUGAUUUGUGGACUGGAAGUUUCCCACCCCUUUCAUAAAACUCGGGGGUUAUAUCCAACAUUAGUUGUAUUCAGAAUACACCCACUUAGUAGCAUAAAUCCAUUUAUUUCAGUGGGUCUGCUCUGAGUAUAGUAUUUUGAUAUCAUUCCAAUUAUUAAAAACAUCAGCACACAAAGACACCGAAAAAAUCUAAGCAGAGGAAAAGGCUAAAAUACUACUUUCACAUUUAAAAAAAAUAACACACACACACCCCAUUGUUAGAAUUUACCUGGAUGCUGAGGAUCUCCGCUCCUCCUCUCUUUAAUAAAACUAAUCAUAAAAGUUCUUCCUGACUAGAAAUGCUUUCAAGACACAUUUAAAAAGUCAAAGAGAAGGGGCUUACUGGAUUUCCCCCGCCUGGGAAGUAGUUCCACAAGCCAUGCAACACUGCACAAAAUGUCGUGUUAUGGUGCUCACCAAAUGGGUCUGAUCUAAAGUAAGAUUGGGUAUGAUUGUACAUCUUUUUGAAAUAGAUAAGUUCAUGUGGAUGAUGUGGGUCUUUAGGUGCUGCAUGCUUAACAAGUUUGAUUUUUACACAUGUGCAUUGCCCAUGCAUGUACAAUUUGUAUGUACAUAGACUUAGUUCACAAGUGAACUAAGAAGGGCAGGAUCUCUUGGCAUGAUCCCAAUCCCCCUUCCUCCAUGAACACAUGUCCAGUUACCACACGUUAUCUUAUGAGCACAAGCGUAUCUCUUAACCUAAAGAAUUAGCUUCAAAUGAUUAGCCCAGUCUUAGAAUGUCAUAUUUUAUUAUUAGUUCAACCAACAAUUGAACUAAAUUAGAUCACUAGGUUAUGUUAACAAUUGUUCAAGGCAUAGUUCACAAGGCAGCUAAUUAUUCCAAGAUAAAUUCUCAGGGGUAGGGACUAUUGUUUAAAUAAAAAAUAUUGCACAUGCCUUGUGUUAAUACAGUCAUUGCCAAUCAGACCUCUGGAGAGUAAGUGCGGUGUUUAUGCUGUUGCAAUUGGGAUAGCAUUUUACAAUUAACUUCUAAGUAGAAUAUGAUUAUCUAGCAUUAUCUUGUGUCAUGUUUACAGGUUUGCACUAUACUCGAAAGAAGCAAACUGUCUAUGCAAAGAGAGAAAAAGAGGUUGCUUUCGCACCUGCCCAUCUUCUUUGUAAUUGGCAUCUUUUGUUCACUCACUGUUUGUGGAGCAUCCAGACAGCAUCAUUAUUAGUCUAUUACAACUGUUUUCUGUAUAGUCUUUCUGUCUAUCCCUCCCACUGUCCAACUUGGACUGUUUUGGUGGGUGGCAGUAAUAAAGAGCAAUUGCUUUAAAGAAUUAAAAAUGCUACAAUUCACACAUGUAGAAGAAUAAAGCUGUGGUCCAUAGUUCAAUCCAUUUACCAUUUCAUAUUUUGUUUCUAAGGGUUUGUGGCGAUAACACAGGGUCCCCAGAUGUUUAACGGUCUAUUGAUCCCUGUGCCACCACUGUGCUCGCUUUCCCACUGCCUCCAACCCAUUACUCUCGGGUAGACACUGAGUCCAGAUAGUUGUUAAAAUUGAACCAAAUAAACAAGUUUAUUUUAUAAGUAUUAACAAGUUUAUGGUUUCUCAGAUAAUAUUCUUGUCAGUUUCUUAACAUUAGUUUCUUUACUGGCCUAUACCUUCCUAAUACCUUCUGACUGAUUAUCUCACCUGUUUGACUGACUCCUCUUAACAGAUUCUCUCACUCUCUCAAAUCAGACUAGCCCAACCCAUAGACUUAUCCUCUCCAUCUCUUCUCUAACUCCAGACUAACUUCUCAACCCCCCUAACUCUAACUCUAACUCCUCCCCUUGGGUUCCCAUUGGUUAGUUAUUUUAUAAUUAGUUAACCCUUUCCUUAUGAACCCAGUAUGAUGUCACACACCUAGGAAGGCAAACACCACAGGGCUGUAGAGGCCAUUGUCACUUUAAAAAAUAUAUGAAACAAUAUGAAAUCAUGCCCACCAGACAUGUAAAAAUGUACCUACAAUAUUUCUUCACGUUGCCCCUAACAUUUAGAAGCAACUUUCUUCAGAAUUAAUAUAACAAUAAACUUCAAGCUCUUUACAUUUUGCACCUGACAAUGUUGUGCCAAGCCAAAUGUUUUGUAAAAGUUUGUUUUUAAUGAAAACCUAAGGAUUUUUGUGUUUUUAUUUCCAUGAGCAUAUGUUAUUUUGGUGUCACAAGGCAGCCCAAUGCAGCUUGUCUCAACUCCCAGAACAGAGAUAGGUUCUUCAAAGCCAGUUAGCAAGUUGUUCCCAAAGGCAACUUCAAAUCUUCCUAUUUUAGAGAGGGCACAUGUCAAUUCUUCAUUAACAUUUUCAUUAUAUUAAUAUAACCUAAAGAGAAAUUCCCCCCUGCCCAAAAUGUGAUAAUCAAUUUGGAUCUCAUAUUCAGAUGGAAGGUUUGUUUUCACUUUGCUUUUGCCACUUCACAUGCAAAUUGUAACCUUAAAACAGGGAACAUGGCAAAAAGAAACAAUUAAAUAGUACUGGUGUUUAAAGAAAUGGAGGUUGGGGAGUAGGGGAGACAUCUUCUUACUGGCUUUGGAAAUAACUUCCUAAGCAGGACUGUUAGUAGCAGUCGUACUUUUUUAAUAUAGCUACUACUAUUAUUAGUGAUAGUGAUAAUGAUAUUUAUUAUGUCAACUUUGCUCUCCUGCCUAGCUACAGUGACAUUUUUUUCAAAAUUCAACUAUUUUUUAGGGAAACAUUUAACAGCCUGUUUAAUAGACGCUAUAUUAGAAUGUUCUGUCACACAUCUGGGUGAUGCAUGUUUUAUCAGUAUAAUGAGAAUAUGAUUCCUUCAUAGGUCUUUACUAAGAAGUGAGGAGGAGAUGACAGGGCAUUCUUGGACGCCGAUAAGAAGGAUUUCUGGGUGCAUACAUAUGUAUAAGUGGUUCAGUGUGGCAACACACCAUUAAAGUAUGCCACUCUGAAACAAA